rnacentral:lncRNA from 1 species
UAAGGACCAUCACUACAUUAUUAUCAAACCAAUCUAUAUUUUAAAACCUCCUUUAAAAGGCAAUCCGCUUAAAUUACUUUUGCAUCGAGAGUUGCUAUAGGUUUAAGGGCUAAGACCCUAAACUCUUCUCUUGCUACUCUACCCAUAUACACUUCAUUGCUCUUUGUAGGAUUAGGAUUUGCUGAGCAUCUCCCAUGCUUGCUCUUCAUAUAUUCGUCGUUACAACUGAAGACCGGCCGAAGCAGCCAAAUAAGGUGUUAUGGUCAUAUUCUGCGCUUAAGGUUGCCUAUGGCACAUGGGCCUACUCCGCUGCUGCUUGUCGAUCCUCCCGUGGGGCUCGAUAAAAC